rnacentral:lncRNA from 1 species
CAAUAGCUAUUUGACACACUUCCUCAUAAAACAGGCCUUUUAGGAUAUGUGCACAUAUAUCACAGAGAAUGUGAACACAGAUGCAGGUGCUGCUACGUUGUAGUUUGGAAUUUAGUGUCAGUUUCACCUUGUUCAAGCCCCAGCUUUUAUCACUCACAAAAUGUGUGAUGAAAUAAUACCUCUAAACUUCAGUUUCCUCGUGGAAACUAAGGAGAAUUAGCACAUUGAAGGGCUAUUGUAAGGAUUCAAGAUGAUAUAGAUAAAGUGCCUGGAAAAUAGGCGCUCAACAGACGCAGAUGCCAAGCAAGAUGGAUCAGAAGAUUAUGAAUCUACGGGUUUCAGCCUAACAUUGUGUACAAGCUGGAAUGAAUGUGGUUAUUUAAAAUGGAAAAAUAAGUAAUUGAGGUGUCUGCUGAGCCCAAAAAGAAUCAGAGGAGCCACAACAGCUGGAAGCUAUAAAUGCCUCAGUACUGGAACUCAUCUUUCAAUCAUUUCACUAACCAUACACAGAAUAUUCAGCAAAAGGAUGUUUGCCAUGGAACCAUGAUCUGUUUUCCAGCUCCGCAGUGUCUGACACCGAGCGAGAUCCUCUCGCUUUCAUACUGAGUGUGUCGGAUAGAGAUAAUUAAUUCUCCGUCUGUGAAAGUAAAUCAUUGUUUCCGCUCUCUUCCCAGCUUUAAUCAGGCUCCCACGGGCCUUCCACUGAGCAUGCGCACCAGACCACGCACAUGCUCCCUGUUAACGCUGUCAAAUGCCGUAUGCCAGAAAGCAAGCUACUUUAGAUUUUAGACUGGAUUUAAAAGACAAAACAGUGGGCUUCACUGAACAGUAAUGAGAUUCUACUAUCUCCUUGAUUUACAGACUAAACGUGACAGAUGUGGCUAGUCUGGUGUUGAUAAUACUACAAAAUACAAUAAGAUUCUAUUUUUAAAAUAGUGCCAGAUGAGAACCUUUCUUCCAUGUACAUAACUCACAAGUUCCUUAUUGGAGAAGAAACUCUGUUUUCUGAUUAUGCUGUAAUUGGCACAAAAUAUUUCACUAAUGAAUUGGAAGCAUUGCAAUUGCUCAGUGUUAAAAUUAAAAAAAGAAAAAUUUAGAAGCCCAGCAAGGAUAGCAAGACUGACUUUAUUUUUACGGUUCUCUGACUAUUGAGUUCAAGAACCUGGUAGCUAGUACAGAGCUGGCCACUCAACACACAUCUAUUGAACUAAAAUCUUCGAAUGUUUGUUGG